CCGUUGGUCAAGCGGUUAAGACACCGCCCUUUCACGGCGGUAACACGGGUUCGAGUCCCGUACGGGUCA
rnacentral:tRNA from 1 species